rnacentral:rRNA from 3 species
UUAAAUUGAAGAGUUUGAUCAUGGCUCAGAUUGAACGCUGGCGGCAGGCCUAACACAUGCAAGUCGAACGGUAACAGGAAGAAGCUUGC